CCUACAGGGGAUAGAACUCCGCUCGCUCCGUUCUUAGACAGUAGGAGUAUAAAUAUUAGCUCUAACGUUAUGGGUAGAUUCUGAUUUGUAAUAGAAAGUAUCUUGCCAUUACAAUAGGUUGAUUAAUAAUAAAAAUGAAGCGACACUGGUGGUUUUGCAAAAGAUUCUCUGGAUUGCAAUAUUUAUUUCUAAGAAAAGCAUCUACAACAUCAACUGGUUCAUCAGGAAAUACCUAUUUUAUCACAACUCCAAUAUUUUAUGUAAAUGCCUCUCCACAUAUUGGUCAUCUUCACUCUGCUGUUCUAGCUGAUGCGUUACACAGGUCGUAUAUCUUGCUUGGUAAAGAAAAAAGCAUUUUUUCUACUGGAACUGAUGAACAUGGAUUAAAG
rnacentral:lncRNA from 1 species